rnacentral:ribozyme from 1 species
CCCCUCGAAAGAAGACUGUUCAAGCGGGAGAUGCUCCUCCUCCCCCUGGCUCACGCUCCCCACCUGCAAUUCCCCCCUCACGUGGAGCACCGCCUCUUGCGUUUCCUGGAGC